rnacentral:lncRNA from 1 species
AGGAGAUAACUUAUAUAUAUAUUGCACAUAUCAAUAAGGUUUGUGUUACAAUUCAGAUAAUAAGCCACCUUCAAACAAACAUCAAAUUAAACAACCAAAACACAAAAGCCAUGAGAGUAUAGUAUAGUGGCAUCCCACACUAUUAAUUACAUGGCUAUAGUCUUAUUCAAAUUAUUAUACAAAGCUUUUACAACACAAUGUUACAUAACACACUUAAUAAUAAAUACAUAAAAACACAAUUUUUUUUUUCAUGUCCAUAUAGUUGAAGCACUGUAUAUAUAGACUAUAGUAGAACUUCAACAGUUGCAAGGGUCACAGUUGCAGCUUGAUCCACACUUGCACCCAUUUCCUCCUUCUGUUGCUUUCUCAAUUGAUCCUUCAACCAUUCCCUUGCUGCAACAUUAAUCAUACAAAAUAAAUUAACUUGUGAUAUUUUGCCAUUUUUACCAACUUCCCCAUUUAAAUUAUUAUAUUGUAAUACCUUGAGUUUAAAUUCUAUGCACCGAUGAUGUAAAAGUUGAGUUACAAAAGUUAAGAUACUACACAUUACUCUCGAGAAAAGUGAGAUUUGUAAUCUUGAAAGUAAGACAGAGAUUACCUGCUAUGAUAGGUGUAUAUAAAAAUGGAUUUUUAGGUAAUUGAUCAACCCUAAAAGAUAUAUAGCUCAUUAGGAGGCUAUUGUUCAAGACCAUAUAAGUAGAGUAGCCCUUAUUAGUCCACUGGUGUGAACUCAAUACCCCACAUUUAAGACUGGACAUCUGGAGUGUGGAUGAUAUAAAGAUUGUAAUGAAAUAAUAAAUUGAAUAAAACCAUAUAAAAAAGAUAUGAAUCUUGGGCCUAACUAACUGAUCAACCACAGAAAAGUUAACUCAGGAAGGGUGAAUUUUCUCCCGGACCAUAUAUAAGGAGAUCAUCAAGUAACCCUUAAGGCCUUAACCUACCGAUGUGAGGCUCAACUAAGGUAAAAGGGACAUGAUAGUGAAGAAUAAUUCUUUCAAAUUCGAUUGAUAUAUUUUUUUAAAUUUAUUUUAAUUCGAUUGAUAUUACUUGAACUCAAUUACUUUAUUAUAAUUUAUAAGUCAUCUAAUCAUGUUGAUAUAUUUUAGACCAUAAAUACAUAAAACUAAAACUCACAACAAAAUAAAGUAUUAGUUACUUGUUCAUAGGUGCAACUCCUUCGAUGAUGGUAAAGGUAGUGGACUUCUCCAAAUCAGGGUACAUGCUGCACCUGCAACAAAUUGAGAUACUAUAACUAUCGCAACUCAUAUUUAUUAUUCUCGAAUUGAACUAUAUAUAUGUAAUUUGUUAUAUAUAUAUGUUGAAAUUGAAAAGAGAAUAUUUGAAACUGAAGUUAAAAAAAAGUAAUAAGAGUUCAGGACAUUUGUAAAAAAAAAAAAAGUGAUUCUUAGAAGCUCAAUUGAUUUACCCUCCACCGUUACCGCAACUGCAGCUAGAACCGCAACCACAGCUAGAACCACAACCAGACAUUAUAAUUUUUGAAUUUGAAAGACUUAAUAAUAAUGAGAGUAUUUCAGAAAAUUAAUCAAGCAAGUAAUUGA